GAUGAACGCUGGCGGCGUGCCUAAUACAUGCAAGUCUAGCGAACGGACGAGAAGCUUGCUUCUCUGAUGUUAGCGGCGGACGGGUGAGUAACACGUGGAUAACCUACCUAUAAGACUGGGAUAACUUCGGGAAACCGGAGCUAAUACCGGAUAAUAUUUUGAACCGCAUGGUUCAAAAGUGAAAGACGGUCUUGCUGUCACUUAUAGAUGGAUCCGCGCUGCAUUAGCUAGUUGGUAAGGUAACGGCUUACCAAGGCAACGAUGCAUAGCCGACCUGAGAGGGUGAUGGGCCACACUGGAACUGGAACCCGGCCCGGACCCCUAGGGGAGGCAGCAGGAGGGAAUCUUCCGCAAGGGGGGAAAGCCUGACGGAGCAACGCCGGGUGGGUGAUGAAGGUCUGCGGAUCGUAAAACUCUGUUAUUGGGGAAAAAAAUUUGUGUAAGUAACUGUGCACAUCUUGACGGUACCUAACCAGAAAGCCACGGCAAACUCCGU
rnacentral:rRNA from 1 species